AUUGAACGCUGGCGGCAGGCCUAACACAUGCAAGUCGAGCGAGCGGCGGACGGGUGAGUAAUGUCUGGGAAACUGCCUGAUAGAGGGGGCUAACUACUGGAAACGGUGGCUAAUACCGCAUACUAUCAGAUGGGCCCAGAUGGGAUUAGCUAGUAGGUGGGGUAAAGGCUCACCUAGGCGACGAUCCCUAGCUGGUCUGAGAGGAUGACGAGCCACACUGGGACGGAGACACGGCCCAGACUCCUACGGGAGGCAGCAGUGGGGAAUAUUGCACAAUGGGCGCAAGCCUGAUGCAGCCAUGCCGCGUGUGUGAAGAAGGCCUUCGGGUUGUAAAGCACUUUCAGCGGGGAGGCGUUACCCGCAGAAGAAGCACCGGCUAACUCCGUGCCAGCAGCCGCGGUAAUUC
rnacentral:rRNA from 1 species